UCUGGUUGAUCCUGCCAGAGGCCACUGCUAUCAGAGUUCGAUUAAGCCAUGCGAGUCGAGAGGUGCAAGACCUCGGCAUACUGCUCAGUAACACGUGGACAACCUAACCUAUGGAAGGGGAUAACCCCGGGAAACUGGGGAUAAUACCCUAUAGACUAUGGAAGCUGGAAUGCUCUGUAGCCGAAAGGUCCGCCGCCAUAGGAUGGGUCUGCGGCCGAUUAGGNNNNNNNNNNNNNNGCAGCAGGCGCGAAAACUUUACAAUGCGGGAAACCGUGAUAAGGGAACUCUGAGUGCCCGUAAAAUCGGGCUGUCCAUCAGUUUAAAAAACUGGUGAAGAAAGGGCCGGGCAAGACCGGUGCCAGCCGCCGCGGUAAUACCGGCGGCUCGAGUGGUGGCCACUAUUACUGGGCUUAAAGCGUUCGUAGCUGGUUUGUUAAGUCUCUGGGGAAAUCUUCCGGCUUAACCGGAAGGCGUCUCAGGGAUACUGGCAGACUAGGGACCGGGAGAGGUGAGAGGUACUCCAGGGGUAGGAGUGAAAUCCUGUAAUCCUUGGGGGACCACCUGUGGCGAAGGCGUCUCACCAGAACGGCUCCGACAGUGAGGGACGAAAGCUGGGGGAGCAAACCGGAUUAGAUACCCGGGUAGUCCCAGCUGUAAACGAUGCGCGUUAGGUGUAUCGGUGACCACGAGUCACCGAGGUGCCGAAGAGAAAUCGUGAAACGUGCCGCCUGGGAAGUACGGUCGCAAGGCUGAAACUUAAAGGAAUUGGCGGGGGAGCACCACAACAGGUGGAGCCUGCGGUUUAAUCGGACUCAACGCCGGGAAACUCACCAGAUAAGACAGCUGAAUGAUAGUCGGGCUGAAGACUCUACUUGACUAGCUGAGAGGAGGUGCAUGGCCGUCGUCAGUUCGUACUGUGAAGCAUCCUGUUAAGUCAGGCAACGAGCGAGACCCACGCCAACAGUUGCCAGCUCGUCCUCCGGGAUGGUGGGGACACUGUUGGGACCGCCUCUGCUAAAGAGGAGGAAGGAAUGGGCAACGGUAGGUCAGCAUGCCCCGAAUUAUCUGGGCUACACGCGGGCUACAAUGGGUGGGACAAUGGGUAUCGACACCGAAAGGUGAAGGCAAUCUCCUAAACCCAUCCGUAGUUCGGAUUGUGGGCUGCAACUCGCCCACAUGAAGCUGGAAUCUGUAGUAAUCGUGUCUCAAAAUGGCACGGUGAAUAUGUCCCUGCUCCUUGCACACACCGCCCGUCAAACCACCCGAGUGAGGUCUUGAUGAGGCCGUCGUAUACGCGGCGGUCGAAUCUAGGUUUUGCAAGGGGGGUUAAGUCGUAACAAGGUAGCCGUAGGGGAAUCUGCGGCUG
rnacentral:rRNA from 1 species